GCGACAUCUAUGCGUCAAUGUAGAAGCUCUGGAUAAACGACAUACCGACCCAUACAGUAGGCGUCAUAACCUCGAUAGAAUCUUGAAGAUAUCCUAAAAAGCAAGAAGAAAACGACAAUGCGUUCAUCGUGGGAAUGAAAAUUAUGAACUUACCUACGUGCACAGUCUUCAGUUAUAUUAGAAGAGAGUUUGAUUACCGUAAUGAAAUCUUUCAGGUACUUUAUCUCUCCAUUAAGAAUAAAAUGACUAUAAAUAAUA
rnacentral:lncRNA from 1 species